UUGAUGAGAGAGUCCAUGCCCAGCUUGACUCUCUGGCUAUUGCAAGCGGUACCAUUGUGUGCUACGUGACACCCACAUUUUGGACUCAGUUGAGUUUUGCCCAACUCCUCCGAAUGGAAUUCGACACAACAGGAUUCUGAAGCUGAGACUCCCCAGAUGACAUAAAGAUGGAAAAUCUGAUGAAAUGUCCCUUGGGAUGCCAUCCCCAAAGUCAGAGGAUUGCAAACUAAGUUACUGUACACACAGAAGCAACUGAAGUUCUCUACAUUCAAGCAGUAACAAGCAAAAUUCCAUGGAGUGGCAUUCUCCCUAUGUCCUGCAAGUUAGCCAUAAAAAAGAAUGAAUACAUGGGAUGGAAUAAGAAGAUGGGUAGCCAUUGAACCCACACAUCAAGAGGACUGAAAUCAACACAGAUCUACUGUAGCCUCAGAAACAUAAAGCUUCCUAGGUCAACUGAGCCUCCUCUUAUCAUGAAGGCUGAAAAUUGACAAUGAGGCCGUCCGCGAUUUUGAGGCAGAAAUAUAUUCUUAAAAAUCUAGUCUAAAAUAGCUUUGCAAUACCCAACAUCAAGACCUCCCAAGAGCCUGAUAAACAAAGACAAAUAUCCUGCUCAUCAGCAAGGUUACCUGUAGAGACUAAGGAAGGAGACUUGAUAGACAUACGCAAGGACUCUUUAUUUAUUUUCUUUUGUAUAUCAUCUAUCUAUCUAUCUAUUUAUCUAUUUAUCUGUUUGUCUGUCUGUCUUAUCAUCCACAUAUUUCCAAUGAUGGAACUAGUUAACAGUAUUCAGUAUAACCUGGCAGAAACAAACAGUGAGUGAGAGGUCUCAUCUACAGCUAAAUAAAAAGCCUAGCAUUUGAAAACUGAAACUCAGCCAAAAGGGCUAAGGAAAUACCUAACUAUUUGAUAUUCAAGAUACAGUAUCUCAGUUUGUUGAUAGCUGCAUUAUAUUAUCGCUAACUUGGCAUGACCUUGACAAUAUCUUCACAACCUCCAUCUUCUCCCUUAUAAUUAAAAGCAUUGUUACUACUAUUGUUACUACUGUAAAUACUAUAAAUAUGGGACAAGUUCCAGAAGUCAUGUUGCUACCAAAACAUAAAGCAACUUUUCUCGUAUAAAGGCCACAAGAGACUUAGAAAUGCACGGCUAGGUAAAAUCAAUAAUUAAAUAUGAUAUUAUUGAUAUGCCAAUGUAUUUUACAUUCAACAUCCAUAGAACUAAUCCUAAAAAUUAACAUUACUGCUGCCAUCUAUUUAACAGGUUUCCCCUUCCAUCCUAUUAAAAAUGAUAAUUUGUAGACUGCUGCUGGAAGAUUUUUAAGGGCCAUGAAUUGUUCAAAGACCUAAGAUUGACCACCUCUAACAGAAAGCCGAAAACAACCUCUCUCUUAACUGCCCUGAAAAGUCAUGGAGCCACAUUUUACAUGUGGGCCCUUUGUCUCUUGUGAGUGAAUAUAAUCUCCCACUUAAACCUUGUUAAAGAAAAUAUUUUAACAGCUCUUAAUGCUAAAGAACAUUCCUCUUUAACCAAGACUUGAACUUUAAGAUGCAGCCUUGUGGAAAAUCUGCUUAGUAUUAACAGUGGUCAAGGUUGGUGACAACAUUUCCCAUGACUGAAAGUCAAAGAAGAGAUGUGAAUUUGCUGUAGAAAAAAAAGGGCAUGUAAGCAUUGAGACAUUACACAGCGCAGUUAGGGCAGGAGAACAACAUCGGCUGGUAUCCAACCACCAUAUGCCCAGCCUAGGAUAGAUACGCUCCAAAUAUCUGGUCCCCACUUUUUUGCAUCAUUAACAUGUUUAGAGAAUUAAGAGGCAAAGUGAGUACUUUAAGCCUUCUGAAUAAGAAGCCUAUUCAGCUCUAAAAAAAAUCUUGAAACUCCCUGAGUUGAAACUCCAUCCAGUUUGCAGAGGGUUUCUGACAUAUUAUGCAAAGCCUGAGGCAGCUAUCUAAUUGACAGGAGUUCCAGUCUCUUUGGGUCUAUGACAAUUCACCGUGGCCAGCUUGCCACAGCCAGCUUGCAAUAGCCAACUCACUGCAGGACAACUCACUCUGGUGAGACAAGUGUUACAAUAAUAUCAAAGAAAUGGUGGAAUAAGAAUCAUUAAAAAAAGGAUACAAAAGGAGGGACAGAAUGAAAUGUAAAUGGCGAAAAUUAAAAUAAUUUUAUUGUAAAUAGAAUUGUUAAAUUCUUCCACAGCAAGGUGUCCCACGUGAAGUUGGCUGUGGUGAGUUGGCCAUCCUGAGUUGACCAUGGUGAGUUGGCCACAGCAAGAUGGCUGUGGCAAGUUGUCCCAUUCCCACCUCUUUGUUAUGAUUCAGUUGUACCACUUGCUAGUGUGUUGGAAAAAAAACUUUGCCAAAAAAUAGUUUUGGCAUUUCCCGCCCCCCCAAUCAGUCUCAUUCAGUUUGAUAAACAAGAAUUCCUUUCUGUAUUUUUUUAAAGGUGGAGAACAUUCCAGUAAACUUUCCUGAAUAGAAAUGAUCAGAAAUUCUUAUAGUCCCUUCUCUGUGAAGUGGUAAAGGAACCUAAACAUUCAGUCUUUCUCAUCUCCUCGACUCAUUCCCACUCUGCACCUCCUUGACCCCCUCCCCACUGUGUCCCAUUAAACCCUAAAAAAAGCUACCCAAAAUGAAUGUGUCGUGUGAAGCUUUUUUAGGAGGGGCAGCCAGGGACGCUGCAGGGUGAUAGAGCUUUCUCUGCCAUUUUGUACCAAUUCAUAAACUCUGUGGUGCCAUGGUGGUACAGUAGUUAAAAUGCAGUAUUGCAGGCUAAUUCUGCUAACUGCCAGGGGUUUGAUCCUCACCAGCUCAAG